GAUGAAAGCCAGCCAAAGGGCUACAACAUGCCAGUCCAGGGGCAUCAGGAAAGAAGCCUGGCUUCCUUGCCGGCGACCGGCGCACGGGUGAGUAAUACCUAUCCCACCUGCCCCUUACUCGGGGAUAGCCUUUCGAAAGAAAGAUUAAUACCCGAUAGCAUAAUGAUUCCGCAUGGUUUUCAUUAUUAAAGGAUUCCGGUAAAGGAUGGGGAUGCGUUUCCAUUAGGUUGUUGGUGAGGUAACGGCUCACCAAGCCUUCGAUGGAUAGGGGUUCUGAGAGGAAGGUCCCCCACAUUGGAACUGAGACACGGUCCAAACUCCUACGGGAGGCAGCAGUGAGGAAUAUUGGUCAAUGGGCGCUAGCCUGAACCAGCCAAGUAGCGUGAAGGAUGAAGGCUCUAUGGGUCGUAAACUUCUUUUAUAUAAGAAUAAAGUGCAGUAUGUAUACUGUUUUGUAUGUAUUAUAUGAAUAAGGAUUCGGCUAACUCCGUGCCAGCAGCCGCGGUAAUACGGAGGAUUCCGAGCGUUAUCCGGAUUUAUUGGGUUUAAAGGGAGCGUAGGUGGACUGGUAAGUCAGUUGUGAAAGUUUGCGGCUCAACCGUAAAAUUGCAGUUGAUACUGUCAGUCUUGAGUACAGUAGAGGUGGGCGGAAUUCGUGGUGUAGCGGUGAAAUGCUUAGAUAUCACGAAAAACUCCGAUUGCGAAGGCAGCUCACUGGACUGCAACUGACACUGAUGCUCGAAAGUGUGGGUAUCAAACAGGAUUAGAUACCCUGGUAGUCCACACAGUAAACGAUGAAUACUCGCUGUUUGCGAUAUACAGUAAGCGGCCAAGCGAAAGCAUUAAGUAUUCCACCUGGGGAGUACGCCGGCAACGGUGAAACUCAAAGGAAUUGACGGGGGCCCGCACAAGCGGAGGAACAUGUGGUUUAAUUCGAUGAUACGCGAGGAACCUUACCCGGGCUUAAAUUGCAGUGGAAUGAUGUGGAAACAUGUCAGUGAGCAAUCACCGCUGUGAAGGUGCUGCAUGGUUGUCGUCAGCUCGUGCCGUGAGGUGUCGGCUUAAGUGCCAUAACGAGCGCAACCCUUAUCUUCAGUUACUAACAGGUCAUGCUGAGGACUCUGGAGAGACUGCCGUCGUAAGAUGUGAGGAAGGUGGGGAUGACGUCAAAUCAGCACGGCCCUUACGUCCGGGGCUACACACGUGUUACAAUGGGGGGUACAGAAGGCAGCUAGCGGGUGACCGUAUGCUAAUCCCAAAAGCCUCUCUCAGUUCGGAUCGAAGUCUGCAACCCGACUUCGUGAAGCUGGAUUCGCUAGUAAUCGCGCAUCAGCCACGGCGCGGUGAAUACGUUCCCGGGCCU
rnacentral:rRNA from 1 species